CAACAACUCUGGCUGGGAAGGAAACAUGAGCACAGCAGUGGAGAGCAUCCUAACUGAUAGCGGCAAACAGCUGUUGAAUCUGCGGUAAAAACACUCUAAAGACAGGAGGCAGUCUCUUCCAGCAUAAGAGGUGUUAAUCACGUACUAAGAACCGAACUUUUAAUUCAACCAGAAAGAUGUGGAAUUGGUUUCAUUCUGGGAGUUGAAAUUACAUCUUGUGGGUCAUCAUUAUGCAGCCAAGCCGUGUGAGGAGAUGUUUGGCCAGGAGUAUGGAAACCUAGGAGCAAACAGCAGGUAAUCAAAGAUGGCUGAAAGCAAAGAGGAUUCUGCCACUCAGCAGUGAUGGUGACACCAGUGAUUGAACUCUUUCUAUUUCAGAAGGAGGAAGUCUGAGGAAGCAGGCAUCAUCAUUCAGAGCAUGCUGGAGUCUGGAGAGCUGAGACUCAGAGAGACCAUUGAGAAGGGAGAUUAAUAGCAAAGGCAACAGAAAAAUAAGCCCUAGCUCAAGAUUUCAGCAGAGGUGGAAAUUGAGGCAAUGGAGAGAAGGAGAGGUGUUGACAGACUGUUUUACAAACAGGGCAGACGUGAGAAGAGUACAAGAACAAAGCGAACAAGGUUACAGUUAGUAGAAACAAAAGGGAGGGGGGGAAAAGGGUCAAGGAAGCAGAAUUAUUUUUGAAGAUGAUCAUUCAUUUAUUGUCUUGAAACAAGAAAGCACUUCCCUGGGGCAAGAGGA